UACGUAGGUGGCAAGCGUUGUCCGGAUUUACUGGGCGUAAAGGGAGUGUAGGCGGAUACUUAAGUCAGAUGUGAAAUACCCGGGCUCAACCUGGGUGCUGCAUUUGAAACUGGGUGUCUAGAGUGCAGGAGAGGAAAGUGGAAUUCCUAGUGUAGCGGUGAAAUGCGUAGAGAUUAGGAAGAACACCAGUGGCGAAGGCGACUUUCUGGACUGUAACUGACGCUGAGGCUCGAAAGCGUGGGGAGCAAACAGGAUUAGAUACCCUGGUAGUCCACGCCGUAAACGAUGGGUGCUAGGUGUGGGAGGGAUCGACUCCUUCCGUGCCGCCGUAAACACAAUAAGUACCCCGCCUGGGGAGUACGGUCGCAAGAUUAAA
rnacentral:rRNA from 1 species